CGAUUCAAACAAAAAUACCCAAGUCUACGUAUUACAAAAACUAGCUUCGCCCGCCCACUAAACCCGGCACAUUCCGCUAAUCUGUUUUUAGUAAACACUAGGUAUCGAUUCCUGUUCUCUACCGUAAGCGAUGAUCACAGGAAGGUGAGGUUCUCCUCGUUACCUCGGAUGCCGGGAAUUCCCAUGUCGUCUCCGGAGUAACUAGGUCUCGAUGAUCUCCUCGAAGCUUGUAACUUUCACCUCCAUAACGCGCAGACGUAAUCGAAGAAGGGAGAUAGAACACUAACCCAUUAAAAACGCUCCAUCACCCGCUAUACAUUCUCCAAGAACGCCUAACCGAUCAAUGGCAUAGAGACACUAAGAUUCCAUACUAAGAACGGUAUGCAAGAAGUCGGGAACGGGUAAGCAGCUGCUCGUGAACAUGAAAACGCUUGAAGACCUGCAAAAAAGCACUAGUGCGCCAACUCUACCAUGACCAACCAAGUGGAGGUCACAGCACUGGGAUGAUUGUCGCACCGGAAGGAGCCACCGACGAUACACAAGGACCCGCAGACUAUACGAAGUCUUCAUGAUCAUCGCCAACCGCCGCCUUAGAGAACCUAAAGCGAUUAGCCUAUCACUGUCAAGAUUGCGCCUGGUGACAACAAGGCAAUCAAACGAAGAACACCACAAGCUGAGACCAACGAAACCAGUCGACAAAGUUCCAGAGGUCAAACAUGAACACGAGCGAGGAAGAGAGAGGCGGAAAGGGAGGGAGGUCGCAACAACGCCUCGGAACGGCCAUAGACGACCGGAACCGACACCGCGCCACCAGAACUACUACCCCCUUAGUGUACUGCUUUAGAAAUUUAAAGAAAUAAUAUAAGGGUUAUGUACAAGUUUUAUUUUAUUUAUUUUGGAAAAUUUGCCAAAAUAGAACAAAAAACACACUCUUUGUCUCCUUAGUAUAAAACCAACCUAAAUUAGUUCAUUUGGUAUAUAUUUGCUAAAAACCCCAUUCUAACCCUUACUAUAUCAAUUAACAAUUUAAAAAUUCACUUUUAAAUAUCAAUUAAAAACAAAAACGAAUUUUGACAAAAAGAAAACAAAAAAUAAAUAAAUCAAAAUAUAAUUAAAACAAAAUCUAAGUGGAAACAAAAAAAGGAAGAAACAAAAUCCCCAAAUCACUAUAAUAUAUGAAUUUUGGUUUUUUGUUAUAAUUAUAAAAUUUUCCUUCAUUGUUUAAAUUUUCUACAAUUUGAUUUAAUAUAUAUUAACCAAAAUAAAUAAAUGAAAAUAUAUCUUAAUUAUAAUUUUAAAUAUAUGAAUAUAUAUUCUUAAUUAUAAAUUAAAGUAAAUCAAAUUGUUUUUUUUUGUUUUUUUUUUCUAAAAAUCAUUUUUUGAAGAUAAAAAAAAAUGAAAAUCGUUUAUUUUUAUUUUUUUGACAAGAAUAUCAUUGAAUACUUUUUAGGAAAAUAAAAAGAUUUUCAAAUAUUUUUCAAAUAUUUUAUAAAUGAACUUGUCAUAUUUUUGGAAAUAUGGUUAUUCUUAUAACUUUUACACCUCGUAGAAAACAUACAACUAAAUCAUAAGCAAAUUUUAGCAUAUGUAACCUUUUGAUUUGUGUCUAAAUUUCAUAUUCGUAAAACUUUAGAAUUGCUCAUACAAAUAGAAGUUACAUUCAAAAUAAUUGUAACUACAUUUAUAAUGUGUAGAUAUUGCAUUCUUCGUAUUUAGAAUUCUAUUUAACAAUGGACUAUUGGUUCUAGAAAAUGUAGAAUAACAUUUUUAACGUGUAAUUCAAUUUCUACCAUGCCAUUUUUCUUAGAACAAAAUUAAAAAUGUUAUUUAAAAAAAAUUCAAUCUAAAAAAAUAUAUGGGUAUUUCAUCAAUAGUUUCUAUUUUUUAUAAGUUUUUAUAAUUUUUAUAAUUUUAAAACUAUUUAUUUUAUUAAGUUUAAAAAAUAGAAAAAGUGAUUAUGUAAAAAAAUGGACAAAUUUUUUAAUACUAAAGGGUCAAAACGGUGUUUUUUCAUUCUAUUUCGGCAAGUUUUCUUUUGUUUUUUCCUUUUCCUGUAGCGGUAAACAAACCAAAUAAAAACUAUUUGUAAUGUUUACAUAAAUCUCAAAUCUAAAUAGAAUAAAUUUUGUUUAUUACAUUAUUUUAUCUUUUACUAUUACAAACCUGCAAUGUGUAAAAAAAAAAAAACUAGCAAAUCUCCCUUGGUCCCUAUUUAUAAUAUUUUAAUUUUAUUUUCCGUACAAACAACGUAUCCGUGGUUGAACAACCUACAAUUUAGAUCCGCUGUUUCGCACUCCAUUGGAAGCGCUCUCAUUUGAACCAAUCGCAUGGAGAACCUCUCUUAAAAGAGUCUCUCUCAUCCUACCGUACACGUGUCCAUCAGCUCCCCGUCGAACUAUCUCCUCUCCCAACUUUACGGCGGCUUCAACCGUCUCCGCCGCACUACCAUGCCUGGAAUCCACGAUUCCCAUCUCCAAACCCCGAUCCGCCGUAAUUUUCUCCGCCGUCAACGCCACGUCUCUUCUCGCCGCCGGAGAAGCAACCUUCAUCCGGAUCAUAGCCACAAACCACGCAGGAAGCACGAGCUCGAUAUCCAGCUCACUCAUAUACAGAAACCCUCUGUCGCGACGCAUCAGUAUAUAGUCGUGACUCAUCGCGAGGAGGAAUCCCGCGGCGGAGGCGUGGCCGGUUACGGCGGCGAUCGUCGGCAUAGGGAGAGAGAUGAGAUCGGCGACCAAGGAUCGGAGUUUGGCGGCCAUGAGAGCGCGGAGAGGAGGAUCCGAUGCGGCUAAGGCGAGAUCGUAGCCGUUGGAGAAGAAUUUUCCAUCGGAGGUUGUGAUGAGGACCGAUUGUGAAGACGAUGGGUCGGAACGGAUUUGUGUGAUGGCGGAGCGGAGGUUGUCGAGUAAGGUAGGGUUGAGACGGUGUUCGCCGUCGCCGGUGAGCUUCAGUAAGAAAAGUCGACCACGCUUCUCCAAUGUACACAUCUCUCUGUCUGUGACAGUGACGAUAGUACUUAGUGGCAGAUUAGCAAUUAUGCGUAUUAGAUUAAUAUACCGAGAACUAUAUCUCGAUGUUCGAGCUUGAGGGUAUUUAAUAUAAAAUGUUAAUUUGCUCUAUCUUUUUGAUACGGAAAUAAUUAGAUGAAUAUCCUAAAAUGCUAUCAAAUCAAACUUUUAUUUCUAAAUCUACUAUAUAAUGUCUAAAAUUUCUACGGUUAAAAUGUAAAAUUCCAGGUUAUUGCAUAUACAACGCGUUGUAAAAUGCUUUGACAGAUAAAAGAAAAACAAUAUGAUUGCAUGUUACGGUCCACUGACAUGCAAGUAAAAUGACCAUAAAAGCUUGUUGAAUAAAACAGUAAUGCUGAAAUCAACAGAAUGUAAUCAAGAAACUUGUCAUGAUAGGUUUCCUCAUAUGAUUGGCGGUUUUGCAAAAGAGAUGAAGAAGAUGACAACUUAGAAAAUAAAGUUAGGUAUUUAGAACCGAAGGCUCUAAUACCAUAUAUAAUAGGUUACAUAAUCUUAUUAUGAGAAGAUAUUACGAUACAUGUACGAGUACGAUGAAGGUAUUAGGGAAUAACUACUAACUAGGUGAUUACACGCGUACAUGUGCAGGAUGAAAUGUAUAUACUAGUAAUUAUUGAAUACUGACUUUGAUCGUUCAACCAUAGUUAUAUCGUGUCAUAAGCCCACCAAUGUAUAGACUAUAGAGUCAUGGAAUUUUGAUUUAAAGUUGCGAGUGAUGGCAAAAAAAAGAGUUGCCAAGUCUCGGGUCAGGUUUGUUGAUGUUUUGUUUUACGUAAAGCCAUUUUAAUUUACGUUGGGCUUACAUAACAAAGCAAUACUCAGUCUUUUCUCUACUGACAAAUACUACUAACAGAAAAGGAACAUCGAAAGUACUGACAAAAAGAGAAAAUGAGAUUAAGUUAUCGACUGAGUUAUUUCGAUUACGUCUAAUGUAAUUUCAAUUUUUAGACUUUGAAUCUUUCUCUUUUCAGUUUACUAUCCGUUUUACUCACAUUUUUUAUAUGUUUUAAUUUUUUGUGUACGUUCUUAAAACACAUGAGCUUCAAUUUGUUCUCCAAGUGUAAUAGUUUUUUUUUUUUUUAAAUUAUAUUAUAAAAAGACCCGCUUUACCGGGAAAUAGUUACGGUUACAAGUUCGAUUCAAACAAAAAUACCCAAGUCUACGUAUUACAAAAACUAGCUUCGCCCGCCCACUAAACCCGGCACAUUCCGCUAAUCUGUUUUUAGUAAACACUAGGUAUCGAUUCCUGUUCUCUACCGUAAGCGAUGAUCACAGGAAGGUGAGGUUCUCCUCGUUACCUCGGAUGCCGGGAAUUCCCAUGUCGUCUCCGGAGUAGCUAGGUCUCGAUGAUCUCCUCGAAGCUUGUAACUUUCACCUCCAUAACGCGCAGACGUAAUCGAAGAAGGGAGAUAGAACACUAACCCAUUAAAAACGCUCCAUCACCCGCUAUACAUUCUCCAAGAACGCCCAACCGAUCAAUGGCAUAGAGACACUAAGAUUCCAAACUAAGAACGGUAUGCAAGAAGUCGGGAACGGGUAAGCAGCUGCUCGUGAACAUGAAAACGCUUGAAGACCUGCAAAAAAGCACUAGUGCGCCAACUCUACCAUGACCAACCAAGUGGAGGUCACAGCACUGGGAUGAUUGUCGCACCGGAAGGAGCCACCGACGAUACACAAGGACCCGCAGACUAUACGAAGUCUUCAUGAUCAUCGCCAACCGCCGCCUUAGAGAACCUAAAGCGAUUAGCCUAUCACUGUCAAGAUUGCGCCUGGUGACAACAAGGCAAUCAAACGAAGAACACCACAAGCUGAGACCAACGAAACCAGUCGACAAAGUUCCAGAGGUCAAACAUGAACACGAGCGAGGAAGAGAGAGGCGGAAAGGGAGGGAGGUCGCAACAACGCCUCGGAACGGCCAUAGACGACCGGAACCGACACCGCGCCACCGGAACUACCACGAGCCACCACCGGAAACAGAGGUACACACCACCGCCUUUGGCUAAGCGCGCUAACGAGCUAAAGAGAGCUCCGAAACUCCCAAGACAGAGAACAAACUGGGCCCGCCCUUUCCAAGACACCAAGGAUAGAGCCAAGAACCGUCGUCUCCAUCGCAACACCGCAAACCCAAAGAAACUCAGAUCCCGAAGACCAAAGUUCAGAUCUGAAGUAGAUGCUCGCCUCACGCCUCCACGCGCCGCCAAACCCUAGAGGCAGCUUAAGGGACCGCCUCCGAAACCCUAAACGCCGACUCCUCCGACAGCACCACCCAAGCCAACCGUGCCGUGACUCCAUGGCUAAAGGACUCGCACCAGAACGGAUCUUCUCUGCAGCGAAGGCGCAUCUAGGAAAGCCUCAGACACAGAAACCACUAGCAAGGCGAGAGGGAGGGCGGAACAGCGGAGAAGCAAAGGGAAAACGGAGAAGAGGAAGAGAGGGAGCCUCCGGCGUCGAGGCUAACGUGCACCGGACGCGGGUCCGGCCUCUCAACGCCGGAGCAGUGCGAGAUCUGAAAGUUUGAGUCUUCUAGAAAUGGAAGAGAGAGAU
rnacentral:lncRNA from 1 species